rnacentral:sRNA from 1 species
AUUUCCAGAAAAGUACAGACCUUUGUUUUCCUCAAGACACCUGUGGACUUAAUGUUUGUCUAAAGGAUCAGACAGACCUAGCAGACUUCUCCAGUCUUUGUGAUGAGAAUCAAGAUACAGAUUCCCAUCAUUUCACCAGUGACCAGUCCAAAGUCCAGUCAGAUGAGGUUGAA